UUAUUGUUGUUGUUGAAGAUGUUGUUGCUCUGUGUCUUUACAGGUAUUUGGAAGAGUGAUAACUAUUUCAUAGGGUGUCCGUGUGACUAAGGAGAAGACAAUACCACUUUGCUCUUGGCAAGAGCUGCUGGCAGAGAUUCAUGUCUCCGAGGAAGAAGCCAUUGUGACCUACUGCCCAGGCCGCAUGUCAGGAGCAUCUGGGUACCACAUGCUCUAUCACGUUGCAAAGUUUAGGAUCCUACAGUGAAUCUCAGCUUUCUGAUCUGUAAAAUGGAGAGAAGAACGGUACCUCGCUCCCAGGGCUGCCGUGAGGAUCUGGGGAAAGAUUCCCGAAAACCACUGAGCACAAUGCGUGGCACUUAGUAAAGGCUCAGCCGCUGUGAUGGGCUCUUGGCUGUCUGCUGGGGCACCUGCGAGGCGGCUUGGAAUACUCAGAACUGUUGGGAUUCGCACUGAGGGGAAGGGGAAGCGUAUUUCUGAAGCCUACACAUCUCUCGCUUAGUAUGAUAUUUUCUGUUUCUAUGGCUCAUGCUUUUGAAACCAACGGUGGACAUUUCUUUCACUUUUCCUGAAGGCCAGCAGGAAAGGGCCUCCUAGGGGAGUCUGUGCAGCUUUCUGAGGUAGAGUGCAACCUUUCCCAUUUGGUGGGAGGUCGGCCUCCAGACACAGGCCCCUCAAAGUCCUCCACAUCAGCCUGAGGAGCGGGCCCCCUCCUUCCCAUGGCCCCUGUGGG